rnacentral:misc_RNA from 1 species
CAAAAUUAAGGCUGAUAGGAAGAGAUCACCUAGAAUCUUAUUCUCUUCUAAGAUGUGAACCAUGGUCUCAUAUUGUUCUUCUACUGUUAAAACGAUACAGUUGCGAAAUACUAGUUGAUUCACUGAACAUUGAUGUAUGUACAUAGCAGAAGAAACGGUCAUGGUGAAGCAGAAUAUGUACACGAGUAGGGUAAACAUAUAAGCAGCUGCUCAUACGGUCGAACCAACUAAAAGUCGUGGCUGGAUAAAGCAAGAGGCUUAAAUUCUGCAUUUGACUUCGUGGAGUGAUUGCUCAAUAUUCUGUGUAAGAAAGAUACAGCUUCCACAAUGCAUUUACCCUUGUUCAACAUGAUACAAUUUGUCCUCAUUCCUUCUGCCACAUCAGUAAGCUCAGCUCUAGUAGGCACUCCAGACCUGACGAGCGACUCCAGGACCUGUGUUGCCCAAAUGACAGGAACAUGAGCAGCUGCACAGACAGAGAUUAUCUCCUUCUGGAUAUAUGCCAUAUUUUCCCAUCCACACUCUACAGCAAGAUCUCCUCUGGCAAUCAUAAUGCCUAAAGGAUUUGGCAUUUUCAUUGCCUCCAGUAGUAAGAGCGGCAAUUUCUCAAAUCCUUCUUUCGUCUCGAUCUUUAAAGAAAUCCCCAAG